rnacentral:rRNA from 1 species
AUUGAACGCUGGCGGAAUGCUUUACACAUGCAAGUCGAACGGUAGAGGGGGCAACCCCUCGAGAGUGGCGAACGGGUGAGUAAUAUAUCGGAACGUGCCCAGUCGUGGGGGAUAACGUAGCGAAAGUUACGCUAAUACCGCAUACGAACUAAGGAUGAAAGCGGGGGAUCGCAAGACCUCGCGCGAUUGGAGCGGCCGAUAUCAGAUUAGGUAGUUGGUGGGGUAAAGGCUCACCAAGCCAACGAUCUGUAGCUGGUCUGAGAGGACGACCAGCCACACUGGAACUGAGACACGGUCCAGACUCCUACGGGAGGCAGCAGUGGGGAAUUUUGGACAAUGGACGCAAGUCUGAUCCAGCCAUUCCGCGUGCAGGAUGAAGGCCCUCGGGUUGUAAGCUGCUUUUGUACGGAACGAAAAGGUCUCUCUUAAUACGGGGGGCUCAUGACGGUACCGUAAGAAUAAGCACCGGCUAACUACGUGCCAGCCGCCGCGGUAA